AGUGAACGCUGGCGGUAGGCCUAACACAUGCAAGUCGAACGGCAGCACAGUAAGAGCUUGCCAUUAUGGGUGGCGAGUGGCGGAUGGGUGAGGAAUACAUCGGAAUCUACUUUUUCGUGGGGGAUAACGUAGGGAAAAUUACGCUAAUACCGCAUACGACCUACGGGUGAAAGCAGGGGAUCUUCGUACAUUGCGCGAUUGAAUGAGCCGAUGUCGGAUUAGCUAGUUGGCGGGGUAAAGGCCCACGAAGGCGACGAUCCGUAGCUGGUCUGAGAGGAUGUUCAGCCACACAGGAACUAACACACGGACCAGACUCCUACGGGCGGCAGCAGUAGGGAAUAUUGGACUAUGGGCGCAAGCCUGAUCCAGACCUACCGCCUUGGUGAAGAAGGCCUUCUGGUUGUAAAGCCCUUUUGUUGGGAAAGAAAAGCUACAGGUUAAUACCCCGCUGUUCUGACGGUACCCAAAGAAUAAGCACCAGCUAACUUCGUG
rnacentral:rRNA from 1 species